AUGUUGAUAUUGAUGCUCCUUGUGUCUUUUGACGAGGUUCAAGGGAAGUGUCGCGAGGAACGCAUCAAGCUCUCCUGUGAUAAUUGGGUCAAAUGUUUUGAGUGGUGUCGUCUCUUUGGUGGUACGAAAGGGUACUGUGAUAAAGGUUCAUGUGUGUGUGUGAAUUGCUUUGUGCAAUCAUCUGGCCACCAUUCUACAGAGGGUCAUCGGAAAGUCCGGAUCUAUUUAUGGAAACUUUUCAGGGUCAUCGGAAUGGGUUCCAGAGACAUACGGAAAAUUCAAGAUUUUAUUUGUAGAAGAAAAGUGCGAAGAACCAUCAUGAGAUGA
rnacentral:rRNA from 1 species